rnacentral:rRNA from 1 species
UACGGAGGGUGCGAGCGUUGUCCGGAAUCACUGGGCGUAAAGGGCGCGUAGGCGGCGCGGAUAGUCGGCGGUGAAAGCCCGGAGCUCAACUCCGGGUCGGCCGUCGAUACUUCCGGGCUUGAGCACUGUAGAGGCAGAUGGAAUUCCGGGUGUAGCGGUGGAAUGCGUAGAUACCCGGAGGAACACCAGUGGCGAAGGCGGCUUCCUGGUCUGCGACUGACGCUGUGGCGCGAAAGCUAGGGGAGCAAACGGG